rnacentral:rRNA from 1 species
UACGAAGGGGGCUAGCGUUGCUCGGAAUCACUGGGCGUAAAGCGCACGUAGGCGGAUUGUUAAGUCAGGGGUGAAAUCCUGGAGCUCAACUCCAGAACUGCCUUUGAUACUGACGGUCUUGAGUCCGGGAGAGGUGAGUGGAACUCCGAGUGUAGAGGUGAAAUUCGUAGAUAUUCGGAAGAACACCAGUGGCGAAGGCGGCUCACUGGCCCGGUACUGACGCUGAGGUGCGAAAGCGUGGGAGCAAACAGG